rnacentral:lncRNA from 1 species
GAUCCUCAGCCCCCCUGGGCCUCAGUACCCUCCACUGCAGCACAGAGGUCAUGUUAUCUUCUCUACCCACCUCCCUGGAUGGUUAUGAGAACAUGACGUGACAAUGGAUAUGAAAAUUCUCUGAAAAUUUCAAAGAAUAUGCUGAAGGUAUUUCCUUCCUGAAGGCCAUCGGGGACCAGAGUGUCCUCCGGUUAUCUCUCUCUGCCGCCGGCUCCUCGCCUGACUCUGACCUCACCUCGGCGUCAGUCUUAUCAGUCUCAGCUGUGCACCUCCCAGAAGCUUCUCACAUCCGUGUUGUCACAUUCUAGUGCUUGGAAGGGAAGCAGGGGUCAGACCACCCCUCACCAUGAUGUCCUGGGUGGCAGAAAGCCAGGGCCAUAGCUGCGGCAUAGGGUUCAAAUUGGAGCUGCAGCUGCCAGCCUCUGCCACAGCCAGAGCAACUUGGGAUCAGAGACACAUCUGCAAUCUACACCACAGCUCACAGAAACGUCAGAUC